rnacentral:rRNA from 1 species
AGAUUGAACGCUGGCGGCAUGCCUAACACAUGCAAGUCGAACGGGAGUAGCAAUACUCUAGUGGCGGACGGGUGAGGAAUACGUAGGAAUUUGCCCUUAAGUGGGGGAUAACCCGGGGAAACCCGGAUUAAUACCGCAUGACCUCGAAAGAGCAAAGUGGGGGAUCGCAAGACCUCACGCUUUUGGAGAAGCCUACGUCGGAUUAGCUAGUUGGUGAGGUAAUGGCUCACCAAGGCGACGAUCCGUAACUGGUCUGAGAGGAUAGACACGUA